AUGGACAUGAGGGCCUCCACUCAGCUCCUCAGCCUCCUGCUGCUCUGGCUCCCAGGGGCCAAGAGUGCCAUCCAGAUGACACAGUCUCCACCCUCUGUGUCUGCAUCUCUGGGAGACAGAGUCACCAUCUCCUGCCGGGCCAGUCAGAGUGUUUACAGCAGUUUACACUGGUAUCAGCAGAAACCAGGCAAAGUUCCUAAGCCUUUGAUCUACGAUGCAUCCAAUUUGCAGCCCGGGGUCCCAUCCCGCUUCAGUGGCAGUGGAUCUGGGACAGAUUUCACUCUCACCAUCAGCAGCCUGGAGCCUGAAGAUGCUGCCACUUAUUUCUGUCAGCAGGGUUACAGUACUCCUCCCACAGUGACACAAGCCUGA